rnacentral:rRNA from 1 species
UACGUAGGGGGCUAGCGUUGUCCGGAAUCAUUGGGCGUAAAGAGCGUGUAGGCGGCUUGGUAAGUCCGCUGUGAAAGUCCAGGGCUCAACCCUGGAAUGCCAGUGGAAACUGUCAGGCUAGAGUCCGGAAGAGGCGAGUGGAAUUCCUGGUGUAGCGGUGAAAUGCGCAGAUAUCAGGAGGAACACCAAUGGCGAAGGCAGCUCGCUGGGACGGUACUGACGCUGAGACGCGAAAGCGUGGGGAGCAAACAGG